CAUGUAAGACUCCGCUGGAAUCACUAACACCAUUUAUCCAGCAGCUAAAUAGCGAUUAGGAUAAGAUAUACGCUGAUAAUACACAAACGAGGACCAAAUGCAAAAAUAAAAAAGAGCUAAACAAAUCUCUGAGCGCUAUCUAGAUGAGCCCGAUGGUGUUAGCCUGUUAGCUAGUACAGCUAGCAGAGCAGCAAGCGACAGCAUCGUGAUGUCAGGGCCAGCGCUAGCUGUGUGUGUCUACACAAAACGUGCCACAGGGAACAUGACGACUGGGUCAGAGCAUCUCCAAAACAGCAGGUCUUGUGGGAUGUUCCCUCUAUGCAGUGGUUAGUACCUACCAAAAGUGGGCCAAGGAAGGACAACUGGUGAACCGGCGACAGGGUCAUGGACGCCCAAGGCUCACUGCUGUGUGUGGGGAGAGAAGGCUAGUCCGCCUUAUCUGAUCCCACAGAAGGGCUGCUGUAGCACAAAUUGCUGAAAAAGUUAAUGCUGGCUAUGAUGGAAAGGUGUCAGAACACACAGUGCAUCACAACUGGCUGUGUAUGGGGCUGCGAAGCUGCAGACCGGUCAGAGUGCCCAUGCUGACCUCUGUCCACUCCAAAGCGCCUACACUGGGCACAUGAGCAUCAGACCUGGACCAUGGAGCAAUGGAAGAAGGUGGCCUGGUCUGAGGAAAUCACAUUUUCUUUUACAUCAUUUGGAUGCCCAGGUGUGUGUGUGUGUGUCACUUACCUGGGGAAGAGAUGGCACCAGGAUGUGCUAUGGGAAGAAGGCAUGUCAGCGGAGGCAGUUUGAUGCUCUGGGCAAUGUUCUGGGAAAUCUUGGGUCCUGGCAUUCAUGUGGAUGUUACUUUGACACAAACCAGCUACAUAAACAGAUCAAGUACACCUCUUCAUGGCAACUGUAUUCCCUAACAGCAAUGGCCUCUUUCAGAAGGAUAAUGCGCAAAAAUUGUUCAGGAAUGAUUUGAGGAAUAUGCUGUUCCUCAGGUGUUCCUCAAGAGUUCAAGGUGUUGACUUGGCUUCCAUAUUCCCCAGACCUCAAUCCGAUCAAGCAUCUGUGGGAUGUGCUGGACAAACAAGUCCGAUCCAUGGAGGCCCCUCCUCGCAACUAACAGAAUUUAAAGGAUUUGCUGCUAACAUCUUGGUGCCAGAUACCACAGCACACCUUCAGAGGUCUUGAGGAAUCCAUGCCUCGACAAGUCUGAGCUGUUUUGGCAGCACAAGGGGGACCAACACAAUAUUAGGCAGGUGGUUUUAAUGUUAUGGCUGAUCGAUAUAUAAUCGAUCGUAAACACGCAAACUCCAGCUCAUAAUGAUUUAUAAGAAUGGUCACAAGAGCUGUUGCUGUUUUUUUUCUUUGUAAUAAGCUCUUUUGAGCACUAAGUUGGGGUAUUAGAAAGUUAACAGGGUGUGGAGUGAAGGGGUGAAGGGGAGUGUCCUUAAAAUGAUUGACAGGAUGGCCAUGUAAACACAAACAUGCAUAAGACCAUAAGCUAGUUUUCCAAAUAGCCGCUGUCCAGUAGCUGUUUUUUGAGAGGUUCGUUUUUGUUGGUUUCUUAGAUAUUUAUCAUGUUCUGUUACUUUGCAGCUUAAAGAUGUCUUUUUCUUUUUGGCUUUACCUCAACAGUGGAUAAACUGGUAGAGUAACACUACAAAGGGUUUUUUAAAAUUUACAUUUUCAUUUUUAUACUUGGAUUAUGACCAUCACAGGUUUUGGCUGGUUUGCAAUAUCCUGGUUCUACAGAGGGAGUGUAUCUCAGUGCACAUUGGCCAAGUGGAAUUCUAGAUGGUAACUCUUGUUGGGAGUUGUAUUGUCUGGAGCAUGGCAUCCAGCUGGAAGGGAUGAUCACUUCUGGCAGCACCUGCUUGGCUGAUUCUGAUUGAUACUUUCUUCAGUGAAACUGGUUCUGGGAAAGAGGUUCCACAAGCUAUCUUCAUAAACCUGAAGCCAACUGUUGUUGAAAAAUACCUGCUAAUGAAUCUGCUUCCUUUGAGACCCUUUUUUUUUUUAAAUGAUCCAGUUUUCUCAGUAAUGGAUAUUUAAGUUUCACAUUUCUGGUACUGAUAAUUAUAGCGCUUAUCUGAAAGUGAUGUUUAGGUCACAUGGUAGGGGUUAAUUGAUUAUUGUAACUUUUUGCUCACAGAUAAGAACAAGAAUGGACAUUAUAAGCAACUCUAUCACCCAGAUAUAGCAUCUAAUCAGUGACAAAGAGGAUGCAGCUAACAUAUAUGCCUGUGGCUGUUACACCAUUGGCAAAGAGAUUGUAGACUCUGUCCUUGAUCGGGUGCAAAAAAUGGUGAGUUGUGAUGGUGUUUUCACUGAGGAUUUAAUGAUUACAGUGACAACUUCCACUAAGACUUUAAUGAUUACAGUGGCAGCUCCUCAAUAGCCCCUCUAGAAUUUAUAUCAGAUGUUCAACAAGUGUUUAUUUUUAUAAAGUCCUCAUUCACAACCCCAUACAUUUUAAAUUCCGUUGAAAUACUAAUUACCUCUUUUGAGUGACCAAUAAUUUUUAAAAACUUUACUGUUUGACAAGCAUACGUCGUACGUUUUCCAUUGAUUUGUUUGCCUUUCUUGAUGUUGCCCAAUGGAGCAAUGCAUUGCAUUGCAAUGUAAUGCAAGGUGCGACUGGUGGAGUUAGGAGGAAGAUUCAGGAAGUAUACCCUAAUGCACCUUUCAUACACUGUUAUGCGUAUCAGUUAAAUUCGUAUCAGUUAAAAAAUAUCAGAUGCAGCAAACCAUAAUAUCAGUAGCACUGGUACAUUGCUUAUGUUAUGUAAUUAAUACAUUGGAUGACUGAUCAGAAGGUUGUGAGUUCAAAUUCCAUCACUGCCAAGCUGUCCUUGAGCAAUGACAGCUUGGCAAUAUGAGUUAUUCAUAUUUGCUAGAUAGUACGCUGUAGCAUGUCAAGGCUAUGUCAUUAUUUAAUGUCGCCCUGUCCUAUGUCAUGAUAAUGCACAACUCUCUAGAUUCUCUUGAAAGAAGAAAAUUCAUCAUCCUUUCAUUGGCUACGUUUACAUGCACUUCAAAUUACCUGUAAGGUCUAUAUUCAGGUUGCAGCCAUAUUCAGAAUACGAUUUUGAUAUGCGUACAGGCAUCAGAAUAUUCCUGUAUACAUGGUUGUUGUAAGUAUGCCUGAGUUGCCAUUCCUAAAUACCAAUACUACAGCUAAGCAUCUGUUAGCACCCACAAUUCCUUGCAGACUGAGCAUGCGCAUAUAUCUCCUUUCAGUGGAUUUCUGAAUAAGGUGUUUACAUGCAACAAAUUUCCACAGACAUAUUCCAGGGAUGGGAAUCGGAAUUUGGAGAAUCAGAAUAUUGUCUUAAUCUGAAUCAGGCAAUCGGAUUGUGGUGUUUAAAUGACUCAAUACUAAUUAGAUUAGUAUUGACAGGUUUUCCUCUAUGUCUGAAUUUUGCAAUAAUGUUCACACAGUAUAAAAGCUGAGACUUGAAUAGAAAUCCAUAAAAUAUUUAUACCCUAAUGGGCCAUUGUGAUUUUUGACAUUUAAUUACACAGGAAACAAAUUUUCUGAAUUGUGUGUGUGUGUGUGUGUAUGUGUGUAUGCGUGCGUGUGUUUUUUUUUUUUUUUCACAACCUUUAAAGGAAUCCCCCACUGGGAUAAACAGAAUGCUUUAGAGAGGUAGACAGAACGUUUUCACUUUAGAGUGCAUUCAAUACCAUAUGGCCUGUCAUUCCCCCCCUGUAGGCUGAUCAGUAUACAGGUCUGCAGGGAUUCCUGAUAUGCCACAGUUUUGAUUGCGGGACUGGAUCUGGUUUCACCUCUCUGUUCAU